rnacentral:rRNA from 1 species
UCUUAACAGGAGGUAAGGCGCGGUGCGGUCGGCUUCAGCCUUCGGGUUGGGGUCGGUUCGUGCCCCUUGCCUUCUGGCGGUUGGAUUGGUAGAAGUACUUAGA